rnacentral:lncRNA from 7 species
AUCUGAAGAUCUGGUUGUUUUUUCAACAGAUUUCAUACAUGAUCUUCAUCACAUCACUUUGGAUUUGAUUCAACACCAGAGGAAACAGUAUAAUGAUUCCUCAUGAAUAGAAGAAAAAACUUCAAAUGUUUCUACUCCUAUUCUGUGAAGUUUCAGCUUAAGAAAAGUGACUUAAAGACCCUUUAUAUCUAUUACUACAAAAUAUCUAAAGCUAGAGUCCUCUAUAUUUGUGGUGCUGGAAAAAAAAUCUGGUGUAGAGAAGAAAUUAAAAAUAGAAAAACUAUCACCUGUCCUCUCAUAAGUUAUUGUACUCAUUUAAUUUCAUGUGUUAAGAAAAAAGGGAAAGGAAACUGUAAGAGGAUGAAUUCAUACAAUGCAAUUUUUUUAAAUAAAAAGAUACAUUUUCAAAACUUAUAAUGAAACAUAUUUCAGUUAAGAUUAAAACCUUUGGUUUGAUAUGUCAUAAAAAUCAAAUUCCCUCAUGAAAAGAUGCAUUUCUUAGUAAGAAAACUGACUGAAGAAAUGCAUGAUUUAGGGAUAGGCUUUUUUUAAAGAGACCUUCACUGAUGUCACAGCAAGACCUGGAUUAAAUUCUUCAAAUGUCUGUCUUAUCUGCUUGCAUUCGUACUUAUAAAUAUUGUUUUGUAGAAUCUAUUUUCUCAUUCAAAUAAAUUAGUCUGAGUUGAUUACAAUUUUGCAAGCUUACGAUAAGUGAACAAUCAACAUAUUCCUUAAAUACAGAAAUGUUGCUAAAGAUAUGGAUGACUGCUUUUGGCUUGCUGUGUAAAACUCUUUCGCACAGUUUCUCUGCAGCAUGAAGACAUUAUGAGAAACCUUCUCACAAAUUGAUUAAUAAUCCAGAGCUGCUGAAGUUCAGCUGAGUGAGCAAUUAAACAUUCCAAACAGCAAUGAACCUUCAGAGAUAAUUUAUGAUAAUUUUAUGCACAAGAGCUCAGUGGCUUUUUAAUUUGAUAGAAUGUUAGUAGCAUAGAUUUCUAACAAGGGAGUUUCAGUGCUUCAUACAUCACUGAGAUUACUUAAACAUUUCAAAUGUGGCUGAUGAAUGAAGUUUCUUGAGAUGUGGGGAGAUACAGAAGGUGUCAGAAGGUUGAAAUUAUUCAUCAUAUCAAUUAUUGAAAGUGGAUGCAUUGACAUCAUACUCCCAGCUCAUAUUUUAUAGCCAUUAUAAAGACAGAACAGAAAUAACAGACUUGGUGGACUGCAGAACUGUCGGGAUAUACAACUUCCUCUUUCCCUUCGGCCUUAUUCUGUAACCAGUGCUAGCACUUCCAAGUGUUUGUUUGAAAGUUGUGUACAGUAUAGAACAGAAGUAGUAUCAUCUUUGGGUAUCAUCAGUUAAUUCCUGGAAAACACCCCAAAUAGGUCAGAAAGAAAAGAGGUUAGUUAAAAUGAGUGCAAACGCAGUGUCAACAGUGCAGAUACUGGUACUUUUGCUGUAAGAAAGCAACUUUGUAAACAUUCUUCCAGAUAUUUUUUUUUGCCUUGUUUUAUUCCAGAAAACUGUAUAGGUCCAAUAUUUUUAAUUCUUAGAGUACUUCCUCUUCAUUCUUUUAUUUCUUUUCUUGGCAAGCAAAAUAUAAUGUUUUAAUCUUGGAUUGUGGACAUAUAACAGCUUGAAAUAUAUUAAGCU